rnacentral:rRNA from 1 species
UAAGGAAUAUUGCACAAUGGGCGAAAGCCUGAUGCAGCAACGCCGCGUGAGCGAAGAAGGCCUUCGGGUCGUAAAGCUCUUUUCUAGGGGAAGAGGAAGGACGGUACCCUAGGAACAAGUCUCGGCUAACUACGUGCCAGCAGCCGCGGUAAAACGUAGGAGGCGAGCGUUAUCCGGAUUCAUUGGGCGUAAAGGGCAAGUAGGCGGUAGGCAAAGUUGGUUGUGACAUCUCCCGGCUCAACUGGGAGGGUGCGGCCAAAACUAGCAUACUAGAGGGCAGAAGAGGGAAGCGGAAUUCCUAGUGUAGCGGUGGAAUGCUCAGAUACUAGGAGGAACACCAGUGGCGAAGGCGGCUUCCUGGUUUGCACCUGACGCUGAGAGGCGAAAGCUAGGGGAGCGAACGGG